rnacentral:rRNA from 1 species
AAUCCAUAGGUUAAUGAGGCGAACCGGGGGAACUGAAACAUCUAAGUACCCCGAGGAAAAGAAAUCAACCGAGAUUCCCCCAGUAGCGGCGAGCGAACGGGGAGGAGCCCAGAGCCUGAAUCAGCAUGUGUGUUAGUGGAAGCGUCUGGAAAGGCGCGCGAUACAGGGUGACAGCCCCGUACACAAAAGCGCAUGUGCUGUGAGCUCGAUGAGUAGGGCGGGACACGUGGUAUCCUGUCUGAAUAUGGGGGGACCAUCCUCCAAGGCUAAAUACUCCUGACUGACCGAUAGUGAACCAGUACCGUGAGGGAAAGGCGAAAAGAACCCCGGCGAGGGGAGUGAAAAAGAACCUGAAACCGUGUACGUACAAGCAGUGGGAGCACAGGUUUACCUGUGUGACUGCGUACCUUUUGUAUAAUGGGUCAGCGACUUAUAUUCUGUAGCAAGGUUAACCGAAUAGGGGAGCCGGAGGGAAACCGAGUCUUAAUUGGGCGUUAAGUUGCAGGGUAUAGACCCGAAACCCGGUGAUCUAGCCAUGGGCAGGUUGAAGGUUGGGUAACACUAACUGGAGGACCGAACCGACUAAUGUUGAAAAAUUAGCGGAUGACCUGUGGCUGGGGGUGAAAGGCCAAUCAAACCGGGAGAUAGCUGGUUCUCCCCGAAAGCUAUUUAGGUAGCGCCU